rnacentral:misc_RNA from 1 species
ACCUGACCGGGACGUAGCAGUGCGGCAUGGGCUGGUGUGGCGGGCGCACACUUCUUUCAAAACGGGUAGCACGCGCUACCGGUUGACGGCAUCGCCGAUUAUCUUCUUUCUCUCUUCUUCCGCCGUUUCCCAUCUCGUGCGCGCGCUCGCUCGCUCCAAGUGUAACGGCGCGGUCACGUGACACGUACGUACCCACACACACACACACACACACAUACCCGCGGUUUUUGCGCGACCAAGUUCACAUGGAGCACCGAACAUCGACGUCGCCACUCGCAAAUCGAGCUCGUCGUUUCGGAACUACGUUUGAAACAUCGCUCGCGUUCGAUCCUUUAGAGUUCCUUUAAAGAGCGCGAACGCGCGCGCGAGUGAGUUGCGUGUCCGCGCGAUUCGGGCUCGCGAAUCGAGAUGUGACCGCGACACGAGGCGCGUUGACCGCGGCGCGACGACCGGGAGUGCGGAAAAAGUGCACGCGAGUGCUUAACCGAAAAAUGACGCUCAUCGGCCGAGCAUCGGUGAGGACAGUGUUGCUGACGUCGUUGCUGCUGACUUGCAUAGUGCUGGUGAUGCUGGCGCGUGCUGAGGAUGUCGCGACCUUGGAGUACGAGCAGCCCCUUCCGGCAACCAACGAGCGACCGCGUCUUGAUAAAGACGCGUCAGUCGCGGAUCGCCGUCAAGCACGCGCAUCUCUGCACGCAGAACUGCCAUCGUCGAAAGCGAAACGCGAGCAGACGCUUCGCAACAUUCUGGCGGCCAGGAGACGGCAGAUCCUGAACCAACGCUCGCACGAGCCGCCUCGGAUCCUCGCGAGUCGCACGCUGCGACCUGGUGAUACUACUUCGAAGGAUCCUCCGGACAUUCUCGAGACCCAGGAGACCAGGCACAGCGUUUACGUCACCAAUGCACGAACAGAAACGUCAAUUGAAGAGGAGAUUCCGCAAAUGUCCAAGGAAUCCGUCGAGAAAAUUUUCGCCGCUGACCUUGGCUUGACGGAACAGGAAGUCGAGUCGCAAACCCUGAAGACGUCAAAGGAUGAAGCUCCAUCAAUGUCAACGACCGAGAAGCAUGAAAGUACUUUUUUGACAUCAUCCACGAUCGCUCCACCUUCGCCGAGCGUGCUCGCUAGUCAGAAGCCGUUAGACGCAGACGCGCGCAAGAAGAACACUGUGUCGAUGCCGGAAUCGCUGUACAACCACUUCCGGCCAGUGGAGAGCAACAUUCCGGUGGAGGACAUGUCGCAGUUCCUCUACUUCGGCCAGAAGCUCCAGCCGGACGCGCAGAACGUUACCGGCACCAGCAGUAAUAAUUCCGUGGAGACCACGUCGACGGUGCCGGUUCCAUCGCGCAGAAGAUACUCUGCAAAGAGGUUUAGCGCGACGAUGGCCGCUCCGGCGGAGGAGAUCGCGAACGACGAGAUGAACAUCGCGCUGGAACGCCGGACAGUCGAAAAGAAUCAAGUGUCGAGGAUCAAGAACACGUUCCGGAGCUCGGGCAGCGGGAUGUACUACCGGAAGCCGAGACCCACGGCGGAUGUCGCGUCCAACGUCAUCCCGGGUAACGAGUCAAGCGUAAUCGCCGGUAGCUCGGACACGAGAAACGAGAUGAAUACGGUGGACGACAAGUCGCGUCGCGACGACCUGGCGCCGCGAGAGAGAGGAAGCAGCGUCCACGUGGUCGGGACGAGCACGACGACCCAGCUACCACAGCAGCGCACGCGUGAUGAUGGCGAUGCCGAGGCGAGCGUCGCGAGCAGCGAGAUCAACGCGAAAUUCGCGAACGCGACCGUCGUAGCCACGAACGGAGUUAACGCGAGUCUUCAGAAGGCAUCGGCCGAUUUCCAGAAGGGAAUCAAUGCGAAGCAAGUCACCGAAUCGAAGGCUGACGCGAGGAGCGUGGAGAAAUCGGAGCGGAAGCUAGCGGGUGUCAAGAUGAUCUCGCCGAGGGCGGGCCUGGGGUCACGCGAGAACGAUAGCGCGUCGUCGACGAUCCGCGACGAGGUAAGAACGACGACAUCACCGCUACAACCGGAAUCGUCGACGUUGCGGAUCGUGGUGCCAGACGAGAGCUUCGGGUCGUCGAGUUUCGCGAUCGACAACGAGCGGGCCCAUCGGAAUACCGUUAAGCAGCAACCGGUCGCGGAUCGACCGGUUCGCGUGACAGCCGGCGGCAAUAUCGCUCCGAAAUCAGCGGCACUGACGCCGUCGACGACGGAGACGGUCGCACCUGCCGACUCCAAGCAACCGGGGUCACAACAGCAACAGCAGCAUCAGCAACAGCAACACGUGUACGCUUACACGAUAACGAACGUGACGCGAUUGUUGCGCAACUACACCGGACCCGGGAUAAGCGGCGAGGAAGAGCAAGGAGGAGCUGCCACCACCGGUCGUCCUGCUGGUAGCGGCGCCGAGAUAACGAGCGGUGGACCGUCGUCGCAGCAGCGGCCUCAGCAGCAGCAGCAACCACCGCCGCCGCCGCCGUCUUCUCCUCUUCUGCUUCCUCGUGCCAGUAUAGAACCGGCGCGUACGCCGGCGGGACUCAGUGCCGGCGCGACCGUCGAGCCAGUCGUAGCCGCUGGAGCGUCGGCCAGUGUUGCAGGCGGCCAAGUGGGGGAACGACCGAGGAAAGUCGUUCCACAGCAGCAGCAACGCGCGACCAGUCAACGAGCAGCGACCUGGGCCUCGCCGCAUUCAUCCGCGAACGACAGCGUCACGAGGUCCGCCAAGUCGCCCGAGGCCGGAAAUAGAGGUUCGAUCAGGUGGAACCACGGCAAGUCGCGGAUCAGCGAGCAGGAGGGUGCUAAUGACCGGAGGUUUCUACGAAAGAGCGCGAGCGCGGUGCUGAACCAGAGAUCAACCAUCAACGACGACUCCUCUUUGGUGGCGUCGAGCAAGCGUCGCAGGGUACUGACACCGCCGAGUGCGCUGUCCUCUUCGAGCAGAAGAGUCAAGCCCAGCGAUCGGGAGGAGAUCCAGAGUACCAGCGUGUUAGUGGUGGACGAUCGAUCGUCGAACGGGACGGUCGCGAGUCGAACGAGCCGUACGGACGAUGGAGGCGCUGGUUCUCCUAGGGAAGCCGCGCGCGCCAGCGGGGUGAACGAAGUGCCGAGUGACAGCAAUUCGACGGUCACCACCAUGGGGAACCUGAGUCGAAAUUCGAGUGCGAUCGGCGAUACGACGAACUCGACCGAUCCAUCAGUCCUCGUCGAUGCGAUGACAACGACGGAGAGGUCCGACGUCCUCGCGGAAGAUGUGCCUACCGUAAAAGUGUCUAGUGUAAAAGAUGGGGACAAUGUCGAGAGUGCGGCUGGGGACAACGACAAGAAUGUCGCGAUGCCGAACAGGAUCGAGAGUGAUGUGGACGCAACGAUGAAUGGCGUCGCUACGACGACCGUGACAGUGACCGGGAGAGUUUCCGAGACAGUCGCCACAACGACUACGACGACGACGACGCCGACGCCGGCGGCAGCGCCGGUUUUCCCGGUCACGCCAAAGAUACUGACGGAAGAGGAAAGGACCACCGCUCCACCGGAGACUUUCACCUUAAGGCCGACGGACGCCGGGAGAGCACCGGAAUCGAGCAACCUGGAUCCCUCGGAGAUCCAGAAGAGGUACCGGGCCAAAGACGCAACAACAACGUCAACGACGACGACGACAGCGUCGCCGGUGUCGGCUUCGCCGAUUCAGAACGACACACGUCCAGUGAGCGACGCGAGACCGAUACCGAGCGGAAAACCGGAAGUGCCCGUUUCGUCGACGCCCGCGGUGAUGGAGAACGGGAAACGCGUAUCCGGCGAGAGAUCGCCGGAAGUCAGGGCGCGCAAUUUGUCGGACAAGUCGAAGGACAAGGACGACGUGCUACCAAUCAUGCACCUGUACAACACGUCGGACAUCUUCAACGGCAGCGGGUCGAUCGACGGGUUCGCGCGUAGCACGGAACCACCGCGAGUGGUACUUCCGGUGGAGCCGCUGGACGAGAAGAAUCCUGCAACGACGACAACCUCGGGAACAACGAUGACGGAGAAGGUUCCCGAUCAGACCACGAUCGUUAACGGUCCAAUCGAAAUCAACGGAACUACCUCGACCACCGUUCCGGUACCAAGACUCAGAGAACCCACUCAACCGAUCGCAACAAACUCUCGAAAAGACAAGCACGAGGAUAAUCGUGAUUCGCAGGAUGCCACCGCUGCACCAGUGUCCAAAGGAUCCCCCGUCGCUCCCGCGACCAACAGGACCAGGUACAGGCCAGCCUAUCAUCACUCGAUCCUGCCGGAGUACAACGGCACGAUGCACCACCACCCAGCCGAGCUGAACGGGACGUUCUUCGAGACCGGCGGGCCGAUCUCGGUGAGCCCGCGGGAAUCGCUGAACAUCACCGAGGUGAUAUCGAAGCGGCACGACGGCGACGCGAUCGCCACCCAGGAGACGGUCGCCGUGGUCAGCUACAUCCUGGCCACUCUUGUGGUAUUUCCCAUCGCCGUCGGCGUCGGGCUCAUUCUCAGAAGACUGAUACUUAGGAAUCGUAAGGUGCUCGAAGAGUCGGACACGUCAUCGGAGAUAAGCUGCAGGAAGGACGCUCUUAAUCUGGAAAACGGCGAUUUCAAAACGUCCAUCGAGAAGGCGAUCACGAAGCUACCGAGGAUACAGCACUUGUGUCAUGAAGCUGAGAAACCGCCGCCUCCGCCUUCGCCGGAAUCCAGAUGGGAGUUUUCUAGAGAUAAGCUUAGACUGCAGACGGUCCUCGGGCAAGGAAACUUCGGCCAGGUGUGGAAAGCCGAAGCCGACGACUUGACAGGUCACCAAGGCACGACUCGAUUAGUGGCGGUGAAAACCGUGAAGGAAGGCGCUUCCGAUCGAGAGAAGGAAGACUUGGAUCGAGAACUCGAAAUCAUGAAGCAGUUGGGCAGUCAUCCGAACGUCGUGACGCUUUUGGGCUGCUGCACCGAGGAAGAGCCUCAUUAUCUUAUACUGGAGUACGUUAUGUACGGCAAACUGCUCGCGUAUCUGCGCGACCACCGCACCAGGCAGUACUUUUACAACUUCAGCGAGGACUCUGCGGCCUUGACAUCCAGGGAUCUCACGGUUUUCGGAUAUUGCGUCGCCAGGGGCAUGGAGUACCUUGCAUCGAAAAAGUUGGAAAAAAAUCGCUUCAAGAUCAACCACUGACGUCUACAUGGCGAUUUGUUGCUCGCUAGUCUGUUCCUUCCUUUUUGGCGACGUGUGUGCGCGCUUCGUCGUCGAUAGGAUAGGAUUGCCGAACACGAGAGGAAAGGAAUCGCGAUAAAUUUUGAGGCGACACUUGGGCGAUCGAUGCAGUCCACCGUUUAAGGGGGGAGCCUGCUUUAGAACGCUGAAAAUAAGAGUUCGUCCUGGAGAAAUCUUAGUGCAGCCGCGUCGCC